rnacentral:piRNA from 1 species
UAAUUGUGGUGUCAGCUUCCU